GACGAACGCUGGCGGCGUGCUUAACACAUGCAAGUCGAACGGAAAGGCCCUGCUUUUGUGGGGUGCUCGAGUGGCGAACGGGUGAGUAACACGUGAGUAACCUGCCCUUGACUUUGGGAUAACUUCAGGAAACUGGGGCUAAUACCGGAUAUGAGCUCCUGCUGCAUGGUGGUGGUUGGAAAGUUUCGGCGGUUGGGGAUGGACUCGCGGCUUAUCAGCUUGUUGGUGGGGUAGUGGCUUACCAAGGCUUUGACGGGUAGCCGGCCUGAGAGGGUUACCGGCAACAAUGGGAGUGAGAUAGGGACCAGAAUGCUACGGGAGGCAGCAGUGGUGAAUAUUGCAAAAUGGGCGGAAGCCUGAUGCAGAAACGCGGCGUGCGGGAUGAAGGCCUUCGGGUUGUAAACCGCUUUCGCAUGUGACGAAGCGUGAGUGACGGUAAUGGGUAAAGAAGCACCGGCUAACUACGUG
rnacentral:rRNA from 1 species